rnacentral:rRNA from 1 species
UACGAAGGGGGCUAGCGUUGCUCGGAAUCACUGGGCGUAAAGCGCACGUAGGCGGAUUGUUAAGUCAGGGGUGAAAUCCUGGAGCUCAACUCCAGAACUGCCUUUGAUACUGGCGAUCUCGAGUCCGGGAGAGGUGAGUGGAACUGCGAGUGUAGAGGUGAAAUUCGUAGAUAUUCGCAAGAACACCAGUGGCGAAGGCGACUCACUGGCCCGGUACUGACGCUGAGACGCGAAAGCGUCGGG